AUGUCAAAUCAUCAUGCCCCUUAUGUCCUGGGCUACACACGUACUACAAUGGCCGGAACAGAGGGCUGCGAAGGAGCAAUCCGGAGCGAAACCCCAAAACCGGUCCCAGUUCGGAUUGUGGGCUGAAACCCGCCCGCAUGAAGUCGGAAUUGCUAGUAAUGGCAGGUCAGCAUACUGCCGUGAAUACGUUCCCGGGCCUU
rnacentral:rRNA from 1 species